ACAAAUCCAGCUCCAGAAACAACACCACUCCGAACAAGUCCAGCACCAGAAACAACACCAGAACCCACCAUUCCGACACCGGAACCCACCAUUCCAACACCGGAACCAACCACCGAUGCUGCUCCAUCUAGGGCAUCCAUUUGUAUCAAGUGAUGGCAGCAGUCUCAACUCAAACUCCUUUUCAGUUUCUUCUUUCAGGUCAAUAAGUGAUUCAGACAUGAUUAGUGCUUAACAGUCACUUGCUAGAGCUUGAAGAUAAGUCAAAUGAAGGCAAAUAAAAGUUGAUGGUCCAGUGUCUUCCGACAAGACUCAGUGGUUUAAUCAAUAUAGAAAUCCAGGAUCCAGACUUCAUGCUAAGGUCUACAGGCACACCAUGCAGACGUAUGUCCUGAGUUUUUGGCCAAGGUUUACUAUUUUAACUUUUCCCAUCACACCCCAUUCAUAACAUCAGGUAAGAGAUAGCAGUGAUGCAUCACACAAAGGUACAUUUAUGCACUUAUAUACGUGGACUUCAUAAAACAACGGAUCUUGACAAUUACAGAGCAAGAUACUCUUAUUCCAAAAUUAGUACUCUCCAAUAAUGGAAGUCCUAAAUAUUUUUAGCAUUCCUCAAUACAGAAUUCAUAAUGGCAAAGAAAACAUGAUGUCACAUACAAAACAAAUGAAAUGAUAAGACACGUAUUAUCUAGACUACGGUGUCUUUUAAAUGGUUUCAGAAAACUCCAAGUUAAGCAACAUAUAUUAAAUGGCCAUCAUUAGUCCCACCCAGAAUUUUUUUCAUAUCCCUGAAUCUUUCCCAAUUAAUAGUCCAUAAGUUGCAUUCACAUUCAAAAUGAAUCCUAAAAGCAGCCAUUGGCUAGAUUAAGAUAUUUUGCAUCAGUCCUAACUCACUUGACAAGUUAACAUUUUAGGACUAAAAAUCAACAGGAGCAAACACAAGUCUGUGUAAAGCAGAAGGUAAAUCAAGGCUUUGGAAUGCAAAGGCUAACACUGUCUUAGAGGGACACAAUCUUGGAGUUGAUCAUUCAGAUGACAGCAAAAUUCCUAGGCAUGCGGCUCAAUAGUACCUCAUUCUUAGUGAAAAGUAGAUCAAUUCUGAAUACUUAAUAUAAUAUAUAUAUAUAUAUAUAUAUAUAUAUAUAUAUAUAUAUAUAGAGAGAGAGAGAGAGAGAGAGUGAGACAAACCUACACACUAUUAACUUUCUUUUCCAUUUGAGCUUUCACAACAAAUGUAAACAUUGGUGAACUUACUUUUAGAAUGGUAAAAAUGUUUAGCUUGAAUCUACUCUCACCUCUACCAAUCUAGGUAGAAGAGUUGAACUAUCCUCUGGGCUGAUAUUUGUAGUAUUUUUCCAAUUUCUAACUUACUCUGAAAAAUCAGAGAUU